rnacentral:rRNA from 1 species
UACGGGGGGAGCAAGCGUUGUUCGGAUUUACUGGGCGUAAAGGGCGCGUAGGCGGCGUGACAAGUCACUUGUGAAAUCUCCGGGCUUAACUCGGAACGGUCAAGUGAUACUGUCGUGCUAGAGUACAGAAGGGGCAACUGGAAUUCUCGGUGUAGCGGUGAAAAUGCGUAGAUAUCGAGAGGAACACCUGCGGCGAAGGCGGGUUGCUGGGCUGAUACUGACGCUGAGGCGCGAAAGCUAGGGGAGCGAACGGG